UGCAAGUCGAGGGGCAGCAUUUUAGUUUGCUUGCAAACUAAAGAUGGCGACCGGCGCACGGGUGAGUAACACGUAUCCAACCUGCCGAUAACUCAGGGAUAGCCUUUCGAAAGAAAGAUUAGUACCGGAUGGCAUAGGAUUAUCGCAUGAUGAUCCUAUUAAAGAAUUUCGGUUAUCGAUGGGGAUGCGUUCCAUUAGUUUGUUGGCGGGGUAACGGCCCACCAAGACAGCGAUGGAUAGGGGUUCUGAGAGGAAGGUCCCCCACAUUGGAACUGAGACACGGUCCAAACUCCUACGGGAGGCAGCAGUGAGGAAUAUUGGUCAAUGGACGAGAGUCUGAACCAGCCAAGUAGCGUGAAGGAUGACUGCCCUAUGGGUUGUAAACUUCUUUUAUACGGGAAUAAAGUGGUCCACGUGUGGAUUUUUGUAUGUACCGUAUGAAUAAGGAUCGGCUAACUCCGUGCCAGCAGCCGCGGUAAUACGGAGGAUCCGAGCGUUAUCCGGAUUUAUUGGGUUUAAAGGGAGCGUAGGUGGAUUGUUAAGUCAGUUGUGAAAGUUUGCGGCUCAACCGUAAAAUUGCAGUUGAUACUGGCAGUCU
rnacentral:rRNA from 1 species